GUCUGAAGGAAACUGUGGGCUGAAGGUGUCCCUGCAUUAUGUACAGUCAGUGGAGAAGAUUGUGUUUAUGUGUAAGAGUAUGAGUACAUCGAUAGUGCAGACAGAGGAGAUUGCUGAGGACCAUAAGGAAGAGGUGGUGAUGGAAGAACUUGCUGAACUCCAGAGUGAGCAGCAGAAGGUGCCAUUUGAAGAGUAUUCCAUGGAGAAAGAGGAAGACAGGGAAGAGCUAAGAGACAGAGAACAGAAGCAUCACCUGAAGUAGAUCUCUUCCUCAUUCCUUAUGGUGCAGGACUCUCCCUCCAAACAAUAACCUCCUCCUCACCUACUACCUUCAUUUCCCCCACAGCAGAAGUCACACCUCAAGCAAGGUUAGUGUCCGCUCUUUUCAUGCUGUACUGUACUGUAUUUUGUUUUA
rnacentral:lncRNA from 1 species